AUGACUGCUAUCACGGUCAGGCCAAGGGCUAUGUUCAGUGCGAUUCUUAGCAAGAUUUGUUUGUCUGAUGCAAAGUACGCGCGUUGUAGGAACUACAACCGACGUGUGGGUGCAACUAUGGUUUUCUGGCCGUCCAUGUUGCACUUUUCCGAAUGGCAGAACCCAGGAAGAUCCAAGACAAUCCAACUAGGGAUAUUUCAACAGUUUGAAAUAAGGAAUUGGAACUGCAGCAUCCUGAAAUACUUGACAAACUACAGGAAGAAGCAUCAAGGACUUGCUCCCCAUGAAACAACUCCACAAUAUCAUUGUCACAUGCUGUUUUAUUUGCUAUGA
rnacentral:rRNA from 1 species